AUUGAACGCUGGCGGCAGGCCUAACACAUGCAAGUCGAGCGGAUGAAGGGAGCUUGCUCCUGGAUUCAGCGGCGGACGGGCGAGUAAUGCCUAGGAAUCUGCCUGGUAGUGGGGGAUAACGUCCGGUAACGGGCGCUAAUACCGCAUACGUCCUGAUGGAGAAAGUGGGGGAUCUUCGGACCUCACGCUAUCAGAUGAGCCUAGGUCGGAUUAGCUAGUUGGUGGGGUAAAGGCCUACCAAGGCGACGAUCCGUAACUGGUCUGAGAGGAUGAUCAGUCACACUGGAACUGAGACACGGUCCAGACUCCUACGGGAGGCAGCAGUGGGGAAUAUUGGACAAUGGGCGAAAGCCUGAUCCAGCCAUGCCGCGUGUGUGAAGAAGGUCUUCGGAUUGUAAAGCACUUUAAGUUGGGAAGAAGAGCAGUAAGUUAAUACCUUGCUGUUUUGACGUUACCAACAGAGUAAGCACCGGCUAACUUCGUG
rnacentral:rRNA from 1 species